UCGGAUGGAAAAACCACCAAAAUAAAAGUUGUAGGUUUUGAAAUGUAAUGAAACUUUGUAGUUGACAACUUUUUGAUUUGGAAUCAUCUUAUCAUUGAAAAUUUCGUGUGAAGUUUUUAAAUUUAAAAUUCAAAUUUUAUAAACGGUCUCGGAUGUAGAAACUAUUAAAAUAAAACUUUUAGAUCUCAAAAAGUUAUGCAACUUUAUAGUUGGUCACAUUUUCAAAUAAACUCAUUUAGUGCCUUAAAUAAUCAAAUUACUCUCGAUUUGUUAUAGUAUAUGGGGAAUGAAAACGUAAUAUAAACAUAAUUGGUGUAGUAGUGUAGUGGUAUAGAAGGGUAUGCGCGAGAGAGAGGUUGCGAGUUC
rnacentral:lncRNA from 1 species